CACUCCUAUGGAACCUCAGGAUACUGCUCCCCACAUCCUGGCCACUCCAGCUCCUGCGAUGUCUCAAAAAGGACAAGACUUCAGUUAAUGCUGGAAUGAGUUAAGACUCUGGAGGGACUACUGAGAAGGGAUGCCUGUAUGCUGAAAGUUUCCUGAGGCCUCCCUGGAAGUGAGGCAGAUUCCAGCACCAUACUUCCUGUACAGCCUGAUGAAUCAUAAGCCAAUUAAACCUCUUUUCUUUAUAAUUUACCAGUCUCCAAUAUUUUUUCAUAGAAAUGCAAGAACCGCCUAACACACAGUACAGAAGAGUAAAUACAGUACAUUCCCAUUUAUGGAAAUGUCAGCUGUCUCUGGGGAAGGGGUCUGAAGUGGCAGUAUAUACCCUAUGUACUGUUUGAGGUGUUUCAUUGUUUUUUUUUUUUAACCGCAUGCCUGUAUUACUUUCAAUUAGAAAAAGUAAAAGAAACCUAUAUACUGGUCAAGGAAAAUUCACAGGUGCCUGGGCCAAGGGACUGAGUUGCACAGGCUUACAAAAACACAGAACACAAAGCCAGACACAGAGGCACUCAAUAAAUAGCUGGAGGAAGCAAAAUAUUUGGAAUCAAUUCAGAAUUCAGAAGGCAGACCCUGGACAAACAGAUCUCUAUCUCAGCACUGGACACGCACCCCGAACAGCCGUUGCUUUACACAAGGAGCUAAGCUGAGAUUGCGAACGUUAGAAAAGAAAGGGAGCAUAAAAACCAAAUACCCUGGAUUUACUUUGGAGCCAGCUGUUCCUCAGCAUUCCUUUGCAAGCACAUUAUGUGUCCUAACCAACCUCAGCCUUCUAAGGGAUGGGAAGGCAAGUCCUUCCGCCAGAGAGCAGAGCCCACCCCUAGCACUGCUGUUGUGGUCCAAGUGCCCAGACAGUUCUGGGCAGCCUUUCCUCCAGCCCCUCCAAAUGAGAAGAAACAAAAUGACCCUGACAGUUUCACUGCACUCCAAAGACAAUCUGAGCACUUCAGCUCCUUUUCCACACCAAGGCUUCAGAAAAGAAAACCAAAAAAAAGGCGAAGGUGGAUCGGUAAGCAAAAUCCCUUAGUAGCAUUUGGUAAAAGGAACUCCCUGGGUUAUGCGUGGAUUCUUUCAGAUGUCAGAGAAGCCAGCAGCUCCAGAAUGCAAAAUGGACAGAGAAGGAAAGUGCUCAAACUCAAGACAGCCUCGCAAAUUUCUCUUUGUUCCCUGCUUUAUUUGGAUAUGCCUCCCUGAAGCCAGCUAGUUGGUCCCAGCUUCCAAAAAAGUUUGUUUGGCCACUGAUACUAGGUCUAGGAGCUUCUGUGCUUGUCAGCCUUGUCUGGCCGCCUCUGGAUACCUGGCUUGCAUGGGGCAAGCAUGUAGGUUAUCAUUCUGCAGAUACAGGCUGUGUGACCAAGUGCAAGCUCCAGAGGCAUGAUGGGAGUACGGCAAAGCAAGGACCUGGAGUAGGAACCAGUUGAAGGUAGAAUCCUUUCCAGGAACCCACAGACUCCAGAGCAUAGGAGAAUAUGACUGGCUGUGGGAAGCAGGGUUUCUGGCUCUUGGGCCUCACACCGGGCUGUCUAGUCAGCAGAAGGAAACAGGAGCACUUACCGGGG